rnacentral:lncRNA from 1 species
AAGAUCUUCAUCGCUUUUUAGUUCCUAUGUGAUUGCCUAUUGACAUUGGACCAUUACUGAUCAGUUAUCCAGUCUGCUUUUGGUUGAAAUUAUGAGAACUUAUGAACUUUUAAGUCUUCAGAAUUUUGAGCAAGACUUUUUAAGGUUUGUAAACUGAUCACCAUUCAAUGGACUAAAGUUGAAUUAAUAGAAGUUAUUUAGUACUUGAGAUGAAUUGCAGGAAUCUGUUGAUGAAGAAACUAGUAAUGGGUGGUUAUAGGUGACACCUACACAUGGAAUUUUGGAGUCUUCAUAGAUGCCAAAGUGAGAUGUUUGAUAACCCUUUACCCAAAAUGGAGAAAAAAGGGCUCUUUAUCAUGGUUUCUCUGUGUUAUGAUUGACAUUCUAAUGUAGGAAAGGGUUGGACAUUGAAGGUGGCAUUAACAAAUUUGUAAAGCAUACUGAAGUAGUUUCUGUUAUGGGCUUGGAAAUAAUUGUAUAUAUCAUGCCAUAUGGUAUAGGGUUUGGGUCCUGUUGAGUGUACUCAUUGUACAUUUGAAACAUUGUAUUGUAUUGAAUUAGCUGUAUUGCAUUAUAUUGUAUUAAGCUAUAAUGCAAUACUAUGUUUGGUGUAAU